rnacentral:rRNA from 1 species
UACGUAGGGGGCAAGCGUUGUCCGGAUUUAUUGGGCGUAAAGAGCGUGUAGGCGGCCAGGUAGGUCCGCUGUGAAAACUCGAGGCUUAACCUCGAGCUGUCGGUGGAAACCAUCUGGCUAGAGUCCGGAAGAGGAGACUGGAAUUCAUGGUGUAGCAGUGAAAUGCGUAGAGAUCAUGAGGAAGACCAGUGGCGAAGGCGGGUCUCUGGACAGUUCCUGACACUGAGACACGAAGGCCAGGGGAGCAAACGGG